GGGUUGUGAGGUUAAGCGACUAAGCGUACACGGUGGAUGCCCUGGCAGUCAGAGGCGAUGAAGGACGUGCUAAUCUGCGAAAAGCGCCGGCGAGGUGAUAUGAACCUUUGACCCGGCGAUGUCCGAAUGGGGAAACCCAGUGUGAUUCGUCACACUAUCGUUAACUGAAUACAUAGGUUAACGAGGCGAACCGGGGGAACUGAAACAUCUAAGUACCCCGAGGAAAAGAAAUCA
rnacentral:rRNA from 1 species